rnacentral:rRNA from 1 species
CAGUAGCCACGGUAAGACGAACCGUGCGAACGUUAUUCGGAAUCACUGGGCUUAAAGCGCGUGUAGGCGGAUGGGAGCGUCGGCCUCUGAAAUCCCCCGGCUCAACCGGGGAAGUGGAGCCGAAACGACCCGUCUGGAGGGACGUAGGGGGACCUGGAACUUCCGGUGGAGCGGUGAAAUGCGUUGAGAUCGGAAGGAACGCCCGUGGCGAAAGCGAGGUCCUGGACGUCUGCUGACGCUGAGACGCGAAAGCCAGAGGAGCGAACGGGAUUAGAUACCCCCGUAGUCCCUGUCUCUUAUA